rnacentral:rRNA from 1 species
GACGAACGCUGGCGGCGUGCUUAACACAUGCAAGUCGAACGGUGACCCGGAGCUUGCUCCGGUGAUCAGUGGCGAACGGUGAGUAACACGUGGGCAACCUGCCCCUGACUCCGGGAUAACUGCUCGAAAGAGCAGCUAAUACCAGAUACGACCACUUCGGGCAUCCGAUGGUGGUGGAAAGUUUUUCGGUCAGGGAUGGGCCCGCGGCCUAUCAGCUUGAUGGUGGGGUAGUGGCCUACCAUGGCGACGACGGGUAGCCGGCCUGAGAGGGCGACCGGCCACACUGGGACUGAGACACGGCCCAGACUCCUACGGAGGCAGCAGUGGGGAAUAUUGCGCAAUGGGCGAAAGCCUGACGCAGCGACGCCGCGUGAGGGA